rnacentral:rRNA from 1 species
AGAGUUUGAUCAUGGCUCAGGACGAACGCUGGCGGCGUGCCUAACACAUGCAAGUCGAACGGAGAAUUUCAAUAAGUUUACUUGGAGAAAUUUUUAGUGGCGGACGGGUGAGUAACGCGUGGGUAACCUACCCAUAAAGCCGGGACAACCCUUGGAAACGAGGGCUAAUACCGGAUAAUCUUAAGCUUUGGCAUCAAAGUAUAAGGAAAGGUGGCCUCUGAGUAUGCUACCGAUUAUGGAUGGACCCGCGUCUGAUUAGCUAGUUGGCGGGGUAAAGGCCUACCAAGGCGACGAUCAGUAGCCGGCCUGAGAGGGUGAACGGCCACACUGGGACUGAGACACGGCCCAGACUCCUACGGGAGGCAGCAGUGGGGAAUCUUCCGCAAUGGACGAAAGUCUGACGGAGCAACGCCGCGUGUAUGAUGAAGGUCUUCGGAUUGUAAAGUACUGUCUUUGGGGAAGAAUGACUGGUUUGAAAAUAUUGAGUCAGUAUGACGGUACCCAAGGAGGAAGCCCCGGCUAACUACGUGCCAGCAGCCGCGGUAAUACGUAGGG